CAGUCGCCGCGGUAAUACGUAGGUGGCAAGCGUUGUCCGGAAUUAUUGGGCGUAAAGGGCUCGCAGGCGGCUUCUUAAGUCUGAUGUGAAAGCCCCCGGCUCAACCGGGGAGGGUCAUUGGAAACUGGGAAACUUGAGUGCAGAAGAGGAGAGUGGAAUUCCACGUGUAGCGGUGAAAUGUGUAGAGAUGUGGAGGAACACCAGUGGCGAAGGCGACUCUCUGGUCUGUAACUGACGCUGAGGAGCGAAAGCGUGGGGGGCGAACAGGAUUAGAUACCCCUGUAGUCCCUGUCUCUUAUAC
rnacentral:rRNA from 1 species